UACGGGGGGUGCAAGCGUUAUCCGGAUUUACUGGGUUUAAAGGGUGCGUAGGUGGGUCUGUAAGUCAGUGGUGAAAUCUCCGGGCUUAACCCGGAAACUGCCAUUGAUACUAUAGAUCUUGAAUAUCCUGGAGGUGAGCGGAAUAUGUCAUGUAGCGGUGAAAUGCUUAGAUAUGACAUAGAACACCAAUUGCGAAGGCAGCUCACUACGGGAUCAUUGACACUGAGGCACGAAAGCGUGGGGAUCAAACAGG
rnacentral:rRNA from 1 species